rnacentral:rRNA from 1 species
UAGGGAAUCUUCCGCAAUGGACGAAAGUCUGACGGAGCAACGCCGCGUGAGUGAGGAAGGUUUUCGGAUCGUAAAACUCUGUUGCCAGGGAAGAACGGUGGGAAGAGUAACUGCUUUCCAUUUGACGGUACCUGAGAAGAAAGCCCCGGCUAACUACGUGCCAGCAGCCGCGGUAAUACGUAGGGGGCAAGCGUUGUCCGGAAUUAUUGGGCGUAAAGCGCGCGCAGGCGGUCAUUUAAGUCUGGUGUUUAAGCCCGGGGCUCAACCCCGGUACGCACUGGAAACUGGGUGACUGGAGUGCAGGAGAGGGGAGUGGAAUUCCACGUGUAGCGGUGAAAUGCGUAGAUAUGUGGAGGAACACCAGUGGCGAAGGCGACUCUCUGGCCUGUAACUGACGCUGAGGCGCGAAAGCGUGGGGAGCAAACA